UACGUAGGGUGCAAGCGUUAAUCGGAAUUACUGGGCGUAAAGGGCUCGUAGGCGGCCAACUAAGUCAGACGUGAAAUCCCUCGGCUUAACCGGGGAACUGCAUCUGAUACUGGAUGGCUUGAGUUCGGGAGAGGGAUGUGGAAUUCCAGGUGUAGCGGUGAAAUGCGUAGAUAUCUGGAGGAACACCAAUAGCGAAGGCAGCUCGCUGGGACGGUACUGACGCUAAGGCGCGAAAGCGUGGGGAGCGAACAGG
rnacentral:rRNA from 1 species